AUUGAACGCUGGCGGCAGGCCUAACACAUGCAAGUCGAACGGUAACAGGAAGAAGCUUGCUUCUUUGCUGACGAGUGGCGGACGGGUGAGUAAUGUCUGGGAAACUGCCUGAUGGAGGGGGAUAACUACUGGAAACGGUAGCUAAUACCGCAUAAUGUCGCAAGACCAAAGAGGGGGACCUUCGGGCCUCUUGCCAUCGGAUGUGCCCAGAUGGGAUUAGCUAGUAGGUGGGGUAACGGCUCACCUAGUCGACGAUCCCUAGCUGGUCUGAGAGGAUGACCAGCCACACUGGAGCUGCGACACGGUCCAGACUCCUACGGGAGGCAGCAGUAGGGAAUAUUGCACCAUGGGCGCAAGCCUGAUGCAGCUAUGCCGCGUGUAUGAAGAAGGCCUUCGGGUUGUAAAGUACUUUCAGCGGGGAGGAAGGGAGUAAAGUUAAUACCUUUGCUCAUUGACGUUACCCGCAGAAGAAGCACCGGCUAACUCCGUG
rnacentral:rRNA from 1 species